AACGAACGCUGGCGGCAUGCCUAACACAUGCAAGUCGAACGAGACCUUCGGGUCUAGUGGCGCACGGGUGCGUAACGCGUGGGAACCUGCCCUUAGGUUCGGAAUAACUCCCCGAAAGGGGUGCUAAUACCGGAUAAUGUCUUCGGACCAAAGAUUUAUCGCCUUUGGAUGGGCCCGCGUUGGAUUAGCUAGUUGGUAGGGUAAAAGCCUACCAAGGCGACGAUCCAUAGCUGGUCUGAGAGGAUGAUCAGCCACACUGGGACUGAGACACGGCCCAGACUCCUACGGGAGGCAGCAGUGGGGAAUAUUGGACAAGGGGCGAAAGCCUGAUACAGCAAUGCCGCGUGAGUGAUGAAGGCCUUAGGGUUGUAAAGCUAUUUUACCCGGGAUGAUAAUGACAGUACCGGGAGAAUAAGCUCCGGCUAACUCCGUG
rnacentral:rRNA from 1 species